rnacentral:misc_RNA from 1 species
GCAAACUUGGUCAUUUAGAGGAAGUAAAAGUCGUAACAAGGUUUCCGUAGGUGAACCUGCGGAAGGAUCAUUAGCGAGAACGUGCCCUCUGGGUGCAUCUCCCAACCCGCUGUUUAUAACACUCUAGUUGCCUUGGUGGGUAUGUUGCUGGACUGGUGGCUGUUGCGCAGCCCCCAUGCCGCUGCCCACCAGAGGACCAUAAUGCUCAUCUCAUGAUUGUCAGAAAACUAUCUCAAAAUGCCAUAAAAAAAACUUUCAACAACGGAUCUCUUGGUUCUGGCAUCGAUGAAGAACGCAGC